UACAGAGGGUGCGAGCGUUAAUCGGAAUUACUGGGCGUAAAGCGUGCGUAGACGGUUAUUUAAGUCGGAUGUGAAAGCCCCGGGCUCAACCUGGGAAUUGCAUUCGAGACUGAAUAGCUAGGGUGCGGUAGAGGGAAGCGGAAUUCCGGUGUAGCGGUGAAAUGCGUAGAUAUCGGAAGGAACAUCAGUGGCGAAAGCGGCUUCCUGGACCAGCACCGACGUCAGGCACGAAAGCGUGGGGAGCAAACAGGAUUGAGAAACCCUAGGUAGU
rnacentral:rRNA from 1 species